GGGCACUCUAAGGGGACUGCCGGUGAUAAGCCGAGAGGAAGGUGGGGAUGACGUCAAGUACCGUCAUGGCCCUUACGGGCUGGGCUACACACGUGCUACAAUGGUGGUGACAGUGGGCAGCGAGCACGCGAGUGUGAGCUAAUCUCCAAAAGCCAUCUCAGUUCGGAUUGCACUCUGCAACUCGAGUGCAUGAAGUUGGAAUCGCUAGUAAUCGCGGAUCAGCAUGCCGCGGUGAAUACGUUCCCGGGCCUU
rnacentral:rRNA from 1 species